UACGUAGGGUGCGAGCGUUGUCCGGAAUUACUGGGCGUAAAGAGCUUGUAGGUGGUUUGUCGCGUUGUUCGUGAAAUCUCACGGCUCAACUGUGAGCGUGCGGGCGAUACGGGCAGACUAGAGUACUGCAGGGGAGACUGGAAUUCCUGGUGUAGCGGUGGAAUGCGCAGAUAUCAGGAGGAACACCGGUGGCGAAGGCGGGUCUCUGGGCAGUAACUGACACUGAGGGACGAAAGCUAGGGGAGCGAAUGGG
rnacentral:rRNA from 1 species